UACAGAGGGGGCAAGCGUUGUUCGGAAUUACUGGGCGUAAAGGGCGCGUAGGCGGCCCGCUAAGUCGAACGUGAAAUCCCCAGGCUCAACCUGGGAACUGCGUCCGAUACUGGCAGGCUUGAAUCCGGGAGAGGGAUGUGGAAUUCCAGGUGUAGCGGUGAAAUGCGUAGAUAUCUGGAGGAACACCGGUGGCGAAGGCGGCAUCCUGGGUCGGUAUUGACGCUGAGGAGCGAAAGUGUGGGGAGCGAACAGG
rnacentral:rRNA from 1 species